GGGGAAUCUUGCGCAAUGGUCGAAAGACUGACGCAGCGACGCCGCGUGCGGGAGGAAGCCCUUCGGGGUGUAAACCGCUGUUACUCGGGACGAACUUCCCGAUUUAUCGGGAUUGACGGUACCGGGGGAGGAAGCACCGGCUAACUCUGUGCCAGCAGCCGCGGUAAUACAGAGGGUGCGAGCGUUGUCCGGAAUCACUGGGCGUAAAGGGCGCGUAGGCGGCUUUUCAAGCGUGCGGUGAAAGCUCGGGGCUUAACUCCGAGUCUGCCGUGCGAACUGGGAGGCUUGAGUCUGGUAGAGGUCGAUGGAAUUCCGGGUGUAGCGGUGGAAUGCGUAGAGAUCCGGAAGAACACCGGUGGCGAAGGCGGUCGACUGGGCCAGAACUGACGCUGAGGCGCGACAGCGUGGGGAGCAAAC
rnacentral:rRNA from 1 species